rnacentral:rRNA from 1 species
UAAGCAUAUCAAUAAGCGGAGGAAAAGAAACCAACAGGGAUUGCCCCAGUAACGGCGAGUGAAGCGGCAACAGCUCAAAUUUGAAAUCUGGCCCCAGGCCCGAGUUGUAAUUUGCAGAGGAUGCUUUUGGCGCGGUGCCUUCCGAGUUCCCUGGAACGGGACGCCAUAGAGGGUGAGAGCCCCGUACGGUUGGACACCAAGCCUUUGUAAAGCUCCUUCGACGAGUCGAGUAGUUUGGGAAUGCUGCUCUAAAUGGGAGGUACAUUUCUUCUAAAGCUAAAUAUUGGCCAGAGACCGAUAGCGCACAAGUAGAGUGAUCGAAAGAUGAAAAGCACUUUGAAAAGAGGGUUAAACAGCACGUGAAAUUGUUAAAAGGGAAGCGCUUGUGACCAGACUUGCGUCCGGUGAAUCACCCAGCUCUCGCGGCUGGGGCACUUCGCCGGCACAGGCCAGCAUCAGCUUGCCGUCGGGGACAAAAGCUUCAGGAACGUAGCUCCUCUCGGGGAGUGUUAUAGCCUGUUGUAUAAUACCCUUCGGCGGGCUGAGGUACGCGCUCCGCAAGGAUGCUGGCGUAAUGGUCAUCAGCGACCCGUCUUGAAACACGGACCAAGGAGUCAACCUUAUGUGCGAGUGUUUGGGUGUUAAACCCCUACGCGUAAUGAAAGUGAACGCAGGUGAGAGCUUCGGCGCAUCAUCGACCGAUCCUGAUGUUCUCGGAUGGAUUUGAGUAAGAGCAUAUAGGGUUGGACCCGAAAGAAGGUGAACUAUGCGUGUGUAGGGUGAAGCCAGAGGAAACUCUGGUGGAGGCUCGCAGCGGUUCUGACGUGCAAAUCGAUCGUCAAACAUGCGCAUGGGGGCGAAAGACUAAUCGAACCUUCUAGUAGCUGGUUUCCGCCGAAGUU